GUGGGUACAGCUCAGUGGUAGAGCACAUGCCUAGCAUGCAUGAGGUCCUGGGUUCAAAUCCAAGUACUGCCA
rnacentral:tRNA from 1 species